UGUUUUAACAUGAUGAUUAGUUUUUGUCUAAAUUUACAAAUAAUGAUGACAAUUGUACUGCCCCAAACUGAUUAAAACG
rnacentral:snoRNA from 1 species